rnacentral:rRNA from 1 species
AUGCAUUCGUCACAUAUAGAUAGCUUAUUUGCAUUGUGCAAAAAAAUUUGUAGUCUCAAUGAUGAUGCAUACAUGUCAACGAUGGGUGUUGGCUCCAACAUUUCGCAUUGGUCUCAAAUCAAUGACAUGCAUUUUGAAGACCAUGCGUUCGAGGUGGACGAGGAGGGUGAGGGCAUUGUCGACGCAAAAGGAAGAGCGGGCAAUUACACCAACACCGAUGACAUCUUACUAUGCAAUACUUGGUUGCAAGUGUCGAGGGAUCCAUCCGUUGGAGGCGAUCAAAGUAGAGAUGCUUAUUGGAACCGGAUGAAGGAACACUUUGAUGCUCGCAACGUGAGUGGAAUUGACCGCUCCAACCGAUCACUUAGGUCCCGGUGGUCGACAAUCAACUCGGAUUGUCAAAGGUGGGCGGCUUAUCAAAAGGCGGUUGACAAGUUGAACCCAAGUGGCACAAAUGAGGACGAUAGAGUAAGUGUCAUUUCAUCUUACAUGUUGGUGCUAAACUUGCUUUGUUUUGCUUGUUGUUGGUGCUAA